UACGUAGGUGGCAAGCGUUAUCCGGAAUUAUUGGGCGUAAAGCGCGCGCAGGUGGUUUCUUAAGUCUGAUGUGAAAGCCCACGGCUCAACCGUGGAGGGUCAUUGGAAACUGGGAGACUUGAGUGCAGAAGAGGAAAGUGGAAUUCCAUGUGUAGCGGUGAAAUGCGUAGAGAUAUGGAGGAACACCAGUGGCGAAGGCGACUUUCUGGUCUGUAACUGACACUGAGGCGCGAAAGCGUGGG
rnacentral:rRNA from 1 species